UACGUAGGUGGCAAGCGUUGUCCGGAUUUACUGGGCGUAAAGAGCGCGCAGGCGGUAUGACAAGUCAGAUGUGAAAGAGGCCGGCUUAACCGGCAAGGGUCAUUUGAAACUGUCAGACUAGAGUGCGGCAGAGGGGGAUGGAAUUCCGCGUGUAGCAGUGAAAUGCGUAGAUAUGCGGAGGAACACCGAUGGCGAAGGCAAUCCCCUGGGCCUGCACUGACGCUCAUGCACGAAAGCGUGGGGAGCAAACAGG
rnacentral:rRNA from 1 species